rnacentral:rRNA from 1 species
UACGUAGGGUGCGAGCGUUGUCCGGAAUUAUUGGGCGUAAAGGGCUCGUAGGCGGUCUGUCGCGUCGGGAGUGAAAACUCGGGGCUUAACUCCGAGCCUGCUUCUGAUACGGGCAGACUAGAGGUAUGCAGGGGAGAAUGGAAUUCCUGGUGUAGCGGUGAAAUGCGCAGAUAUCAGGAGGAACACCGAUGGCGAAGGCAGGUCUCUGGGCCGCAACUGACGCUGAGGAGCGAAAGCAUGGGGAGCAAACAGG